CGAAGGGGGCUAGCGUUGUUCGGAAUUACUGGGCGUAAAGCGCGCGCAGGCGGUUCUUCAAGUCAGAGGUGAAAGCCCAGAGCUCAACUCUGGAAUGGCCUUUGAGACUAGAGAACUAGGGUACGGGAGAGGUGAGUGGAAUUCCGAGUGUAGAGGUGAAAUUCGUAGAUAUUCGGAAGAACACCAGUGGCGAAGGCGGCUCACUGGCCCGUUACCGACGCUCAGGCGCGACAGCGUGGGGAGCAAACAGGAUUAGAUACCCUGGUAGUCCACGCCGUAAACGAUGGAUGCUAGCCGUUGGUAAGCAUGCUUAUCAGUGGCGCAGCUAACGCAUUAAGCGUCCCGCCUGGGGAGUACGGCCGCAAGGUUG
rnacentral:rRNA from 1 species